GACGAACGCUGGCGGCGUGCUUAACACAUGCAAGUCGAACGGAAAGGCCCUGCUUUUGUGGGGUGCUCGAGUGGCGAACGGGUGAGUAACACGUGAGUAACCUGCCCUUGACUUUGGGAUAACUUCAGGAAACUGGGGCUAAUACCGGAUAGGAGCUCCUGCUGCAUGGUGGGGGUUGGAAAGUUUCGGCGGUUGGGGAUGGACUCGCGGCUUAUCAGCUUGUUGGUGGGGUAGUGGCUUACCAAGGCUUUGACGGGUAGCCGGCCUGAGAGGGUGACCGGCCACAUUGGGACUGAGAUACGGCCCAGACUCCUACGGGAGGAAGCAGUGGGGAAUAUUGCACAAUGGGCGGAAGCCUGAUGCAGCAACGCCGCGUGCGGGAUGACGGCCUUCGGGUUGUAAACCGCUUUCGCCUGUGACGAAGCGUGAGUGACGGGAAUGGGUAAAGAAGCACCGGCUAACUACGU
rnacentral:rRNA from 1 species